AAGAGUAUAAAUAUUUCAGUUACGUUGAAGAUUUCCUUUACGGUACUCUUU
rnacentral:tRNA from 1 species